rnacentral:rRNA from 1 species
AUGAACGCUAGCUACAGGCUUAACACAUGCAAGUCGCGGGCAGCAUUUUCUUAGCUUGCUAAGGAAGAUGGCGACCGGCGCACGGGUGAGUAACGCGUAUCCAACCUUCCAUGUCCACGGGAUAGCCCGUCGAAAGGCGGAUUAAUACCGUAUGAGGUCACAUGCGGGCAUCUAAGUGUGACGAAAGGUUUGGCGGACAUGGAUGGGGAUGCGUCCGAUUAGCUAGUUGGCGGGGUAACGGCCCACCAAGGCGACGAUCGGUAGGGGUUCUGAGAGGAAGGUCCCCCACAUUGGAACUGAGACACGGUCCAAACUCCUACGGGAGGCAGCAGUGAGGAAUAUUGGUCAAUGGACGUAAGUCUGAACCAGCCAAGUAGCGUGCAGGAUGACGGCCCUAUGGGUUGUAAACUGCUUUUAUGCGGGGAUAAAGUGUGGGACGUGUCCCAUAUUGCAGGUACUGCAUGAAUAAGGACCGGCUAAUUCCGUG